AUUGAACGCUGGCGGCAGGCCUAACACAUGCAAGUCGAACGGUAACAGGAAGCAGCUUGCUGCUUUGCUGACGAGUGGUGGACGGGUGAGUAAUGUCUGGGAAACUGCCCGAUGGAGGGGGAUAACUACUGGAAACGGUAGCUAAUACCGCAUAACGUCGCAAGACCAAAGAGGGGGACCUUAGGGCCUCUUGCCAUCGGAUGUGCCCAGAUGGGAUUAGCUAGUAGGUGGGGUAACGGCUCACCUAGGCGACGAUCCCUAGCUGGUCUGAGAGGAUGACCAGCCACACUGGAACUGAGACACGGUCCAGACUCCUACGGGAGGCAGCAGUGGGGAAUAUUGCACAAUGGGCGGAAGCCUGAUGCAGCCAUGCCGCGUGUAUGAAGAAGGCCUUCGGGUUGUAAAGUUCUUUUAGCGGGGAAGAAGGGAGUUAAGUUAAUACCUUUGCUCAUUGACGUUACCCGCAGAAGAAGCACCGGCUAACUCCGUG
rnacentral:rRNA from 1 species